GAUAUUUGGCGGGUACUAACCGCGGUGGCGGUUUUGGUUUCGGAAAAUCUGAUCGCAACAGAAUCAGAAUUGGGAAGAAAGAAACUAGUUUGUUGCAAAAGCGGGAACUUGAAUUCUCACUGCAAUGGGCAUCAUUCAGCAACUUUCAAUUUCUCACCUUAGUUAGUAGUUAACAGACAUGAUUCAGUACCUAUUAUUCGCAUUAGGGUUUCUGCUUUCUGCAACAAUCCCCUUUUCUCGCGGGGAAUCAUCUACCUGCUUGACGGUCUACAAGAACGGCGGUGCUCCGGCCGUGUUCCAAUCCCCAAAAUGCCCUCGCUGGAAGCUCACCGAUUACGAUUCUCCUCCCCAAACCACCGCGCGUUGUCAGUCCGCGAUGCUCCAGGGCCGUAGAAAUUCCCAAGAGGAUCGCACUCUCUGCGUCCUUGAUGUUCGAAUUCCCUUCCCUGAUGCGUUCGGGAUCAAGGAGGUUGCGGUUGGGAUUGUGGCUGUUUUCGAUGGUCAUAACGGUGCAGAAGCUAGUGAGAUGGCGUCAAAACUUUUGGUGGAGUAUUUCGUUUUGCAUACUUAUUUUCUUCUUGAUGCCGCGUAUUCUGUUAUAUCCAAGGCGUCUACAGGAACAUUGCUUCACAAGAGAGAUCGUGAUCGUGUAAACCUACUGCAUAGAUGGAAAGAAAUUCUUGGUUGGCAAUGGCAUGAAAAGGAUUUCGAAAGGUUUCAGAAUACAUUUUCUGCAAAUUUUGAUGAUUCUUUGCACUUGGAAAUUUUGAAGGAAGCAUUGUUGAGAGCAAUUCAUGAUAUUGAUGCAAAAUUUUCUGAGGAAGCCAACAAAAAUAGUCUUCAUUCAGGAUCUACGGCAACCAUUGUAUUGGUUGCAGAUGAUAAAAUUUUGGUUGCCAAUAUUGGAGACUCUAAGGCCUUCUUAUGUUCUGAAAAAUUUCAGUCUCCUAGAGAGGCUAAAGCCUCAUUAUUAAAGCUAUAUAGGCAGAAAGAGCAUGAUGGUUCUGUUUCCGUAUGGGAUCGUGAAAAGUACAGAUUGGCUUCCUCUCAUGGACUCACUCAUUUUGCAGUAAAGGAAUUGACCAGUGAUCAUCAUCCAGACAGAGAUGAUGAAAGAAUUAGGGUGGAAACAGCUGGUGGUCAAGUUCUAAAUUGGGGUGGUGUGCCUCGCAUAAAUGGUCAGCUGGCUAUUACACGGGCUAUUGGUGAUGUAUUCUUUAAAAGUUAUGGUGUUAUAUCUGCACCAGAAGUGACUGAUUGGCAGCCUCUGACUGCCAAUGAUAGCUAUUUGGUGGCUGCAUCUGAUGGUGUAUUUGAGAAAAUGAACAUGCAGGAUGUCUGUGACUUGUUGUGGGAAGUACACUGUUUCAGUAACAUGAGAUCAGAGUGUACCUGUUCAUCUUCCUAUUCAUUGGCAGAUUUUAUUGUUAACACUUCCUUCACAAAGGGCAGUAUGGACAAUGUGGCAGCAGUUGUUGUUCCUCUGGAAUCUUCCAAAUCUUCUGUAAACACGCUUAGGAGAGGCUAUGUUGAAAAUAGGGAUGCAGGCUUCCCAUUAUUUGGUCCACAGGAACCUGCUUCCAGAAGCUCAGCUAAAGACAUCACAUCUGUUCUAAUGCAUUUGGAGCAUCCUCAUCUGGUAGAUACCAAGUUUAAGCGAAUAUUGGUUGAAGUGAAACAUGGUGAUUUUGGAUGUUUUUAUUUAUCUGAAAAUCUUGAUGAACCAGUGGACUCUAAGCAGCCUGCUAAAAAAACUGACUGGGAAGACUAUCUGUAUGAACUACCUCAGCCUCUACCAGACGCCCUUCAUCAACAUGUUGCAGUAGGUGGUCCUGUAAAUUUGUACAAUGAACAUAACUUUUGCUUUAACCUUGGUCCGAUUGUCAAUGAAGCCAAAGACCAAUGCAUAAAUCCUGAAGGCUUUGCUAGUUUUAUGGGUCUUCUUGAAUCGAUUCCUUUACAUGAUACUGGUUCAAAUAAUGGGUCUUCUGAUUAUUCAUUUCCUGAUUUGAGGUAUGUGUUAAAGAAGAGUUUUGGUCGUGGAUCAUAUGGUGAAGUAUGGUUAGCUUUCCAUUGGAAUUGUAAUCAAGGAAGUAAUGCCACAAACAUGAGCAAGGAUGACAAUGUUAGAAACAGCAGCUCAACUACUCCCGAUUGUCAGGAUGGUCCUUCUAACUACACAUUGUACAUUUUGAAACGUAUAAUGGUAGAGAGAGGGUCUGCUGUUUACUUAAGCGGGCUGAGGGAGAAGUAUUUUGGAGAAAUUUUCUUAAACGCCUCUAUAUGUGUUGAAGAUCUGCUAUCAGCUGCAAAAUCAAACUGUGUCUUGGAAACUUCACAAUUUGGUUCAUUUCCAAACAAAUUUAGGCUGCAAAGAGCCAUGUAUGAAGAAGGUUUGAACCAUAUUGCAAGAUAUGUGGAGUCUUUUGAGUCUCGAUCCAAUGAAAUAUGGCUUGUAUUCAGUUAUGAAGGCAUGUCAUUGUCUAAACUUUUAUAUACUGUGGAAGAUGCAUAUGAUACUGCUGAGAAAGAAAGAUUUGAGCAAGUAAAACAUGCUCAGAUACUACGUCCAUCAAAGUGGUGGCAUUGGUUGAAAACUACAGAAGAAGGGCAAGAGGAAAUGCGCAACCUUCUCUGGCAGUUGUUAUUGGCUCUCAAGUCCUGUCACGAUCGCAAUAUCACACACAGGGACAUUAAACCUGAGAACAUGGUGAUAUGCUUUGAAGAUCAGGAGACGGGGAGAUGCUUGAAAGAGAUUCCAGCUAAAAUCAAUAAAUUUUCCACCAAAAUGCGUAUUAUCGAUUUUGGAAGUGGAAUUGAUGAAUUCACAUUAAAGCAUUUAUAUGGUUCUGCUGGGCCUUCUAGAGCUGAACAAACUUAUGAAUAUACACCUCCUGAAGCUCUGCUAAAUGCUAAGUGGUAUCAAGGACCAACAAGCUCAACCUUGAAAUAUGACAUGUGGAGCGUUGGUAUUGUAAUGUUAGAGUUGGUCUUAGGGACACCAAAUGUUUUCCAGAUAAAUGCUUUAACACGUGCUCUUUUGGACCGGCAUCUUGAGGGCUGGAAUGACGGUGUGAAGCAGCUGGCAUACAAACUUAGAUCAUUCAUGGAAUUGUGCAUCUUAAUCCCUGGGAUUUCCGGCAGUUCCUCAAAAAAGUAUCACACAGUGAACCAAGUUGGAGUUUCGCCUGCAUCCUGGAAAUGCUCUGAAGAAUUCUUUUCUCGUCAAAUUAAGAAUCGAGAUCCUCUGAAAAUAGGUUUUUCAAACAUCUGGGCUUUACGGUUAGUGCGCCAUCUGUUACUCUGGGACCCAGAGGAUCGUCCAAGUGUUGAUGAGGCACUGCAGCAUCCCUAUUUCCAACCUCCCCCAAGAGGAUGAUUUUAUAGGAAACAACCAGCUGUUUCUUACACGUCGAGUUAUUCAUUCUCAGGGACAUACAAAAAAGUUGAAAUUUAACAGGUAGCAUCAAGUCAUCAACAGCAUCGUCUGUAAUUCGCAUGAAAGCUGGACCCAAGCAAGAGAUGUUGACACCUUAAAAAAAGGACCUGAAUCUCAUGAAAGGUUCAUCAUAAGGAAACUGGUGUAUAGAUAAAUUGAUACUGCCUCUGCGUAGAGCUUCGUUUACUACACAUGCGGCCAAAGACGGUAAGGAUGAGCACAGAUGGGGAUACCAUAUCAGGCAACAGAAGUCUUCAAUUGUCACUUUCAAAAAUUCCAUCGGAUGAAAGGACCAAUGACUUGUAGUUAUUGUAAUAUAUAUAGUGCAUGUGCAACCGAGCAUGCAUUUUUUUUUUUUAGUAGAUAACCGUGCAUGCAUUUAGGUAAAGAAAGGGAAAGAUGGCUUGGCGAAAAAUCCAACAUCAAUCGGAUACUAGGUGUUACAAGGAUAUGAGUAUGGGCAUCGUUCUUACCGCAAGGCCUUCUACUCUCUGCCAUGUUUCCCCACGCCUAUCAUCCAGGCUUGCCAUCUCAAUAGUUCGUUUGGUGAUAAUGAAAUUAUACUAUUUUACGCAAUAACUCGGAGGAUUGCAAGAUUACAAGAGCGAAAAUAUACUCCAAGGGGCCAGUGAGAAUGGAAGCUGAAUCAGAAUCCAAUUUUCUUCUAGUGGCAAAAAAAAAUGACUGCUGAUGGGUGCAUAAAUGCCGGUCCCUCUUCACUCUUCAUAGUGUAGCUUUCAGUGCCUAUGUGUUUUCAAUGCCAGAGAAGGUUAUAAGUUUUGAACGUGUGUUUCCAUGUUGCAAA